rnacentral:rRNA from 1 species
UGGGGAAUCUUGCACAAUGGGGGCAACCCUGAUGCAGCGACGCCGCGUGAGCGAUGAAGCCCUUCGGGGCGUAAAGCUCUUUCGACCGGAACGAUAAUGACGGUACCGGGAGAAGAAGCUGCGGCUAACUACGUGCCAGCAGCCGCGGUAAUACGUAGGCAGCAAGCGUUGUUCGGAGUUACUGGGCGUAAAGAGUGCGUAGGCGGUUUUCUAAGUUCGGUGUGAAAUCCCCCGGCUUAACUGGGAGGGUGCGCCGAAGACUGGGAAGCUGGAGUGUGGGAAAGGCAGGCGGAAUUCCUGGUGUAGCGGUGAAAUGCGUAGAUAUCAGGAGGAACACCGGCGAUGUAGACGGCUUGCUAGACCAUAACUGACGCUGAGGCACGAAAGCGUGGGUAACAAACA